rnacentral:tRNA from 1 species
CCGGCCUCAGCCGGGAUAGUCGCCGGGCUUCGCGCCCGGAUUGGCGUUCAACCAUGACAGGUAGCGGUUGUAGGCGGCCAGGUCGGC